UACGAAGGGGGCUAGCGUUGCUCGGAAUCACUGGGCGUAAAGAGCUCGUAGGCGGCUCGGUAAGUCGGAUGUGAAACCUCCAGGCUCACCUGGAGACGCCAUCUGAUACUGCCGUGGCUUGAGUCCGGUAGAGGAGCAGGGAAUUCCUGGUGUAGCGGUGAAAUGCGCAGAUAUCAGGAGGAACACCAGCGGCGAAGGCGCUGCUCUGGGCCGGUACUGACGCUGAGGAGCGAAAGCGUGGGGAGCGAACAGG
rnacentral:rRNA from 1 species